rnacentral:lncRNA from 1 species
UGGGUUAUAACUAAACAACAAAGAUUAGAUAUAACUAAUGUUUAGACAACUGCCCUCGGUCCACUUGGACCAAAGAAGAAAAGGAGUAAACCACUGAAUCUGGCCCGAAGAAUACGAGCCAACAUAAUGUUGGAUGGAUUCAAACCGUGAACCAUCAAGUACACCUCACGAAUGAAGAUCACCGCGCUCGAAAUGCUAACGAGGAACGUGAGAAACUUGGCCCAGACCAGAAACUGCUUCUCAAUCAACCUUUGAACCCGAAUCCUUGGGGUGCUUUCGUAAACCAUGUUUAAUUGAGCCACUGUCUUCCUCAACUCAGAUUCACCUCUCAUUUUUAGACGCGAUUUCCCAAUCCCGUUAAACAAUUUAACAAUAUCCUCAUCACUCAAAUCGCCUUCGAUGAUUUUCUGCUCGCGUAGCAACUUCACGUCCUUCGCGCAGUCGAUUAUCCCACACAUGAAAUCUACAUAUUCAGUGAGCUCAAGACCAUAUUCACCCAUAAAACUGUCAUUUGCCAUUAGUUUCUCAUAAGCCACCAAGUUUCUCAGUACAACCUCUGAAUCUCUAUUAAGAGUCAUCAGAGGGAGAUAACAAUACCGCACUUUUCCUUGGACAAAGUUUAUGUUUCUGAUGCCUUCAUUUUUAGGUGACAAACGGAACUCCACGCCCGCAACUUUGUGAAGUUCGGAAACUGAAGGCACCUUAAUCUCUUCAGCUGUAGUUUUUUCGUUUUGAGAUAACUUUUUCUGUAUGAAUUGUUGAAAAGAUUGAGCCCCAGGUAUCACUCCCGCAAAUCUGAUAAUAGCUUUUAGUAGUUCCAGCUUUGCAUCCUUUUCAGAUGACUCCUUUCCAGAAUUAGUGAACUCUACUUUUCUUGGGAUCAAUCUCUCAUUGUUCACAAUGGAUUUAUACAUAUAAUCAAGUAGGUGGUUAACGCGAUUAAAGUCGAUAUAUUCUUCGGAAAGAACAAAUGAUGAGCUUGACUUACAGAAAAAUCGGAAAUUGGAUUCCAAGAUAUCUUCUUGACCCAAUAAGGCCUUCUGGAUUUCCUUCAACACAAUAAGUGGAAUCUGGUUCUCUAACAUGAUCAAAUCAUUUGUUUUCACAGCAAAAUCUCCGUUUGAAUAAGCAUUUAACAGAUGAAUUAAGAACAUUCCAUCAAUAGUGAAUAACCAUGCCAACAUAUUGUCAUCAGCAUCAUGGUAAAAAUCGUAGCAAUCGCGAACCAAGGGGACAAUCUUUUUGACCUUUUCCACAAAUUCUUGUUCAUAGUCAUGAACUUGAUGUGGCUUUAGUACGCUUUUCACGGCUGUGAGCUUCUUCUGCUCCAUCCUGUGAUAGAGCUCAGGCUGAAAAUGAUGAUUCGGCCCAAGCCCGACUUGUUGAGGGACAUAAGCUUCCAGCUUUUCUGCUUUGAGGUUUCACUGAUUUGAUCUACCCAUGGUCUCUCACCAUAGUUUGGGCUCAAAAAUGGGUUCAAAGAAGCCAUAUGAUACUCCCAGAAUUGGAUCCAAGACUAAAAUGAUAGAAGCUUAACACCUCUAUAUCAUAAUCUCAAAUGCUUCG